rnacentral:rRNA from 1 species
AAAGGAAUUGACGGGGGCCCGCACAAGCGGUGGAGCAUGUGGUUUAAUUCGAAGCAACGCGAAGAACCUUACCAGGUCUUGACAUCCUUUGACCACUCUAGAGAUAGAGCUUCCCCUUCGGGGGCAAAGUGACAGGUGGUGCAUGGUUGUCGUCAGCUCGUGUCGUGAGAUGUUGGGUUAAGUCCCGCAACGAGCGCAACCCUUAUUGUUAGUUGCCAUCAUUUAGUUGGGCACUCUAGCGAGACUGCCGGUGACAAACCGGAGGAAGGUGGGGAUGACGUCAAAUCAUCAUGCCCCUUAUGACCUGGGCUACACACGUGCUACAAUGGGAAGUACAACGAGUUGCGAAGUCGCGAGGCUAAGCUAAUCUCUUAAAGCUUCUCUCAGUUCGGAUUGUAGGCUGCAACUCGCCUACAUGAAGCCGGAAUCGCUAGUAAUCGCGGAUCAGCACGCCGCGGUGAAUACGUUCCCGGGCCUUGUACACACCGCCCGUCACACCACGAGAGUUUGUAACACCCGAAGUCGGUGAGGUAACCUUUUGGAGCCAGCCGCCUAAGGUGGGAUAGAUGAUUGGGGUGAAGUCGUAACAAGGUAGCCGUAUCGGAAGGUGCGGCUGGAUCACCUCCUUUCUAAGGAA